AGUGAACGCUGGCGGUAGGCCUAACACAUGCAAGUCGAACGGCAGCACAGUAAGAGCUUGCUCUUACGGGUGGCGAGUGGCGGACGGGUGAGGAAUACAUCGGAAUCUACUUUUUCGUGGGGGAUAACGUAGGGAAACUUACGCUAAUACCACAUACGACCUACGGGUGAAAGCAGGGGAUCUUCGGACCUUGCGCGAUUGAAUGAGCCGAUGUCGGAUUAGCUAGUUGGCGGGGUAAAGGCCCACCAAGGCGACGAUCCGUAGCUGGUCUGAGAGGAUGAUCAGCCACACUGGAACUGAGACACGGUCCAGACUCCUACGGGAGGCAGCAGUGGGGAAUAUUGGACAAUGGGCGCAAGCCUGAUCCAGCCAUACCGCGUGGGUGAAGAAGGCCUUCGGGUUGUAAAGCCCUCUUGUUGGGAAAGAAAAGCAGCAGGUUAAUACCCCGCUGUUCUGACGGUACCCAAAGAAUAAGCACCGGCUAACUUCGUG
rnacentral:rRNA from 1 species